GUGGCGUGCCCGAGUCAAGGACUACACUGAUGAAGUAGAUACGGAGACAAUAUCUCCCGCCCCCA
rnacentral:tRNA from 2 species